rnacentral:snRNA from 1 species
AUUUCUUCUUGGCCUUUUGGCUAAGAUCAAGUGUAGCGUCUGUUUAAUGUCAGGCACAUCCUCUAUCGAAGGAUUAUGUACUGCGCAUUCACCUCUCUUUGAGCUUUGUAUAAAAGAGGAAGAAAGGUUAACCU